AGCUCCAAUAGCGUAUAUUAAAGUUGUUGAGGUUAAAAAGCUCGUAGUUGAACCUUGGGCCUAGCCGACCGGUCCGCCUCACCGCGUGCACUGGUUCGGUUGGGUCUUUCCUUCUGGAGAACCUCAUGCCCUUUACUGGGUGUGUUGGGGAACCAGGACUUUUACUCUGAACAAAUUAGAUCGCUUAAAGAAGGCCUAUGCUCGAAUACAUUAGCAUGGAAUAAUAGAAUAGGAAGUGUGGUUCUAUUUUGUUGGUUUCUAGGACCGCCGUAAUGAUUAAUAGGGACAGUCGGGGGCAUCAGUAUUCAAUUGUCAGAGGUGAAAUUCUUGGAUUUAUGAAAGUCGAACAACUGCGAAAGCAUUUGCCAAGGAUGUUUUCA
rnacentral:rRNA from 1 species